UACGGAGGGUGCAAGCGUUAAUCGGAAUUACUGGGCGUAAAGCGUGCGCAGGCGGUUUGCUAAGACAGAUGGGAAAUCCCCGGGCUUAACCUGGGAACUGCAUUUGUGACUGGCGGGCUAGAGUAUGGCAGAGGGGGGUAGAAUUCCACGUGUAGCAGUGAAAUGCGUAGAGAUGUGGAGGAAUACCGAUGGCGAAGGCAGCCCCCUGGGCCAAUACUGACGCUCAUGCACGAAAGCGUGGGGAGCAAACAGG
rnacentral:rRNA from 1 species